UACGGAGGAUGCAAGCGCUAUCCGGAAUGAUUGGGCGUAACGGGUCCGUAGGUGGUGAUGUAUCUCUAUUGUCAAAGGUUCUGGCUUAACCAGAGACAGGCAGUAGAAACUGCAAAACUAGAGUGCAGUCGGGGCAGGGGGAAUUCCUGGUGUACCGGUGAAACGCGUAGAGUUCAGGAAGAAAACCGGUGGCGAAAGCGCCCUGCUAGGCUGUGACUGACACUGAGGGACGAAAGCUAGGGGAGCGAAUGCG
rnacentral:rRNA from 1 species